GGGGACGUGGCGGAAUUUGGCAGACGCGCAUGGCUUAGGACCAUGUGCCUUAACCGGCGUGCGGGUUCGAGUCCCGCCGUCCCCA
rnacentral:tRNA from 1 species